GCUAGCUACAGGCUUAACACAUGCAAGUCGAGGGGCAGCAUGGUCUUAGCUUGCUAAGGCCGAUGGCGACCGGCGCACGGGUGAGUAACGCGUAUCCAACCUGCCUUACACUCUUGGACAGCCUUCUGAAAGGGAGAUUAAUACAAGAUGUUAUCAUGAGUAAGCAUUUUCGCAUGAUUAAAGGUUUACCGGUGUAAGAUGGGGAUGCGUUCCAUUAGAUAGUAGGCGGGGUAACGGCCCACCUAGUCUUCGAUGGAUAGGGGUUCUGAGAGGAAGGUCCCCCACAUUGGAACUGAGACACGGUCCAAACUCCUACGGGAGGCAGCAGUGAGGAAUAUUGGUCAAUGGACGAGAGUCUGAACCAGCCAAGUAGCGUGAAGGAUGAAGGUUCUAUGGAUUGUAAACUUCUUUUAUACGGGAAUAAACGGAUCCACGUGUGGAUUUUUGCAUGUACCGUAUGAAUAAGGAUCGGCUAACUCCGUGCCAGCAGCCGCGGUAAUACGGAGGAUCCGAGCGUUAUCCGGAUUUAUUGAGUUUAAAGGGAGCGUAGAUGGGUUGUUAAGUCAGUUGUGAAAGUUUGCGGCUCAACCGUAAAAUUGCAAUUGAUACUGGCAGUCUUGAGUACAGUUGAGGUAGGCGGAAUUCGUGGUGUAGCGGUGAAAUGCUUAGAUAUCACGAAGAACUCCGAUUGCGAAGGCAGCUUACUAACCUGUAACUGACAUUGAUGCUCGAAAGUGUGGGUAUCAAACAGGAUUAGAUACCCUGGUAGUCCACACGGUAAACGAUGAAUACUCGCUGUAGGCGAUAUACAGUCUGCGGCCAAGCGAAAGCAUUAAGUAUUCCACCUGGGGAGUACGCCGGCAACGGUGAAACUCAAAGGAAUUGACGGGGGCCCGCACAAGCGGAGGAACAUGUGGUUUAAUUCGAUGAUACGCGAGGAACCUUACCCGGGCUUAAAUUGCAACCGAAUAUGGCGGGAACGCUAUAGCUAGCAAUAGCGGUUGUGAAGGUGCUGCAUGGUUGUCGUCAGCUCGUGCCGUGAGGUGUCGGCUUAAGUGCCAUAACGAGCGCAACCCUUGCCGAUAGUUACUAACAGGUUAUGCUGAGGACUCUGUCGGGACUGCCAUCGUAAGAUGUGAGGAAGGUGGGGAUGACGUCAAAUCAGCACGGCCCUUACGUCCGGGGCUACACACGUGUUACAAUGGGGGGUACAGAGGGCUGCUACCACGCAAGUGGAUGCCAAUCCCAAAAACCUCUCUCAGUUCGGAUUGAAGUCUGCAACCCGACUUCAUGAAGCUGGAUUCGCUAGUAAUCGCGCAUCAGCCACGGCGCGGUGAAUACGUUCCCGGGCCUUGUACACACCGCCCGUCAAGCCAUGGGAGCCGGGGGUACCUGAAGUGCGUAACCGCAAGGAGCGCCCUAGGGUAAAACUGGUGACUGGG
rnacentral:rRNA from 1 species